rnacentral:rRNA from 1 species
UACGAAGGGAGCUAGCGUUGUUCGGAAUCACUGGGCGUAAAGCGCACGUAGGCGGACUUGUCAGUCAGGGGUGAAAUCCCGGGGCUCAACCUCGGAACUGCCUCUGAUACAGCAAGUCUCGAGUCCGGAAGAGGUGGGUGGAAUUCCUAGUGUAGAGGUGAAAUUCGUAGAUAUUAGGAAGAACACCGGUGGCGAAGGCGGGUCUCUGGGCCAUAACUGACGCUGAGGAGCGAAAGCGUGGGGAGCGAACAGG